rnacentral:lncRNA from 1 species
UUCCAGAACUUGACAAUGCAUUGCCCUGGGAGCUGCAUCUUCCUCUUAGCUGCCUGCCUUAUUGCUGCAUCCCUUGGUGACCCCCAACGCAGCAGCCACCAGUGCUUCCAAGGCGUGCCGUGGAGUGAGCUUUUGCAGGAGAUUGAGCAACUGAACAAAAGAGGCUUUUCCUUGGAGUGCGAGGAAGUGAGCAGUGAAGAUUUGUGUUUCCCUGAGCAGAUGCUGAAAGCAGUUAAAUAUGAUAAUGCAGCCAUUGUUAAUAUAGUGCAUGAAAUUGCCGAGUUUUUCAAGAGAGCAGACACUCCUUUUCAAAAUAAGAGCACUUUUCUAAGAGGAAUGUAUGAGGCCCACGCUCAGCUCAAGACAUGUCUGAAGCCCAGACGUAACAUCAGCCAUGAGUCUAUAGUGAAAGACUGCUUCAAAAAAAUGGAUGAAUUUGUGGCCAGGUCAAGUGACCACUGCAUUUGGCAAGAGAUCCAUGCACAUUCCAGAGAGAUACUCCAAAGAAUUGAAAACUACUCUUUCAAGAGAAGAUCAACACAUUAGCAAAGUCAGUUUCCAUCACAUUCUUCAGGGAUCUACUAUCGUGUCAAGAUGUAAAAAUUAAAGGAAGAAGCAAACGUAGUUUUGCAUUUAGGACUACAAACAGAUUAACUUAUUUUUGUCAAGAUAUUUUUCUAAACUACUAGAAAACUUAAGCCUUAAUAAAAAGGAUGCAAAAACCCCUACA